GCAACUAUCAGGUAGCAUCGUCUUGUGCCUGAAGCUGAGACUGCCUGCAAGAAAGCCAAUGCGAUCACUCCAGCAGUAACAUUCACAUUCAUGGAAAAAUGAUCAGCUCAGUGCGACCACCCCGAAAGAGGAAAAGAGGCUGGAAUGUAGUCAGAGAAAGCAAGAUCACACAGGGCUGGAAAGUCAGACCGACGAGUUCAAAGUCAACCCCACAGUGCACACUGACCAGAGGGACAAUCGAAUUUCCACGUGGGUAAACUUUGGAACAGCCAUCCAUAUUUCAGGACUCCUGAGAUCUUCUCUAAAGAUAAUUGUAUAGGUAAAAACUGACUUGUUAUCAGAAAACCAGGAUC